rfam:Arabis alpina cultivar Pajares scaff_49313_1_contig_0, whole genome shotgun sequence.
UUGGGCGAGAGUAGUACUAGGAUGGGUGACUUCCUGGGAAGUCCUCGUGUUGCCACCC